rnacentral:rRNA from 1 species
CAGCAGCCGCGGUAAUACGGAGGGUGCGAGCGUUAAUCGGAAUUACUGGGCGUAAAGCGUAUGUAGGCGGUUUGAUCAGUCGGAUGUGAAAUCCCCGAGCUUAACUUGGGAAUGGCAUUCGAAACUGUCAAGCUAGAGUAGGCUAGAGGAAAGGGGAAUUCCGCGUGUAGCAGUGAAAUGCGUAGAUAUGCGGAGGAACACCAAUGGCGAAGGCACCUUUCUGGGGUCAUACUGACGCUGAGAUACGAAAGCGUGGGGAGCAAACAGGAUUAGAUACCCUGGUAGUCCACGCCCUAAACGAUGUCAACUAGUUGUUGGGAGGGUUUAACCUUUCGGUGACGAAGCUAACGUAUUAAGUUGACCGCCUGGGGAGUACGGCCGCAAGGUUGAGACUCAAAGGAAUUGACGGGGACCCGCACAAGCGGUGGAUGAUGUGGUUUAAUUCGAUGCAACGCGAAAAACCUUACCCACCUUUGACAUGUACGGAAGCCUUUAGAGAUAGAGGCGUGCUCGAAAGAGAGCCGUAACACAGGUGCUGCAUGGCUGUCGUCAGCUCGUGUCGUGAGAUGUUGGGUUAAGUCCCGCAACGAGCGCAACCCUUGUCAUUAGUUGCUACAUUCAGUUGGGCACUCUAAUGAGACUGCCGGUGACAAGCCGGAGGAAGGUGGGGAUGACGUCAAGUCCUCAUGGCCCUUAUAGGUGGGGCUACACACGUCAUACAAUGGCUGGUACAAAGGGUUGCCAACCCGCGAGGGGGAGCUAAUCCCACAAAGCCAGUCGUAGUCCGGAUCGUAGUCUGCAACUCGACUACGUGAAGUCGGAAUCGCUAGUAAUCGUGGAUCAGAAUGUCACGGUGAAUACGUUCCCGGGUCUUGUACACACCGCCCGUCACACCAUGGGAGCGGGUUCUGCCAGAAGUAGUUAGCUUAACCGCAAGGAGGGCGAUUACCACGGCAGGGUUCGUGACUGGGGUGAAGUCGUAACAAGGUACCCGUA